AGGACCUGCUGCUGGUCCUUUCAACAGGAACCCACCUGGACUUUCAGAUGGAGCAGAGUCUACAAGAGAGAGACUGUGUACAUUAACAUGAAGAAGACAUGGGAGCGCACCUAUCGAGAAUUGAGACGAUGUUGGUUUCACCUCCUCCAGAAUACAGCUCUACCACUAAACUUGUAACGCAGUGGACAUGAUGUCAGGACGUGCUGCAGUAAGAGGACCUGCUGCUGGUCCUUUCAACAGGAACCCACCUGGACUUCCAGAUGGAGCAGAGUCUACAAGAGAGAGACUGUGUGUACAUUAAAGUGAGGAAGACAUGGCAGCGCACCUGUUGCCAUCGACAAUCAAGGCGAUGUCCCGUCACCACCUCUAGGACAACAGAGAACUGGAGUUCCCAGACUGCCAAUGAAGGCUGGGCUGCAGUGCCCACUGCACAGGCCUCAGACUGGUCUUAAGUCAUAUCAUGACAACGCAUUAGAAAUAUGCAUCGCACAUCUGUCUGUCCGUGGAGUGGGAUCCUCAGUUGCUCUUCCUGAGGUUUCUUCCAUUUUAAAGGGUUUGUUUGGAGAGUUUUUAUCCAAGGCGAGGGUCAAAAAUGACGCAGAGUGUUGUAUGAUGUACAGAUUGUAAUGUUCCUUGAGGAAAAUUUGUGAUGUUGGGCUAUAUAAAUAAAACUGCACUUCAAGCUGAUUAAUCAAUAAAAGUGACCGAUAUUCAUAAAA